CGAUGCAGCAGGCAGUGGCUGCGGUGUGUGUGCCGGUAUAUGUGCCGGUAUAUGCUGUGGACUAGACAGAUGUGCCGUAGCAACGGCAUCAGUAAAAUGCCGUUCUUUUUGUUUCUGGAAAGCGAUCGGGAUCUUUGUGCACCGCCUUGUAUACCACGGACGACUUCAACCACAAGCAAUACUCCGCCUCGCUGCUCCCAAAGAUGCAAAACGCCGUGCAAGUUCUUCGAAGUUUGAAGGGACAAAAGGUUUCUGGCACCAUCUGACAAAAGAAGCAAGAAAUAGAGACCAAACAAACAACAUGGCCACGCCCAUGGCAGCGUCAGUAGCUCAGCACUUCACUCUUGAAUGACACACUUACCAGAUGUUCAAGGUCGUCAAAAAACCAUGCAUUCCAGCCUUCAACCAUGACCUCAGGUUUCCGGUCCUUUUCUGGGUACAACUGUAAUGAACAAGAGUAGCCACUGCAAACUUACGAAAGCUCACGGAUGAAUGACUCAAGUUCUUGGAGAACCUGCUGACGACACGUCUCCUCCUCCGAGUCGGGAGAACACACAUCUGAAGGU
rnacentral:lncRNA from 1 species